rnacentral:rRNA from 1 species
CAAGACCUGCACUUUUGGAGCGGCCGGUGUCUGAUUAGCUAGUUGGUGGGGUAAUGGCCUACCAAAGCUUCGAUCAGUAGCUGGUCUGAGAGGACGGCCAGCCACACUGGGACUGAGACACGGCCCAGACUCCUACGGGAGGCAGCAGUGGGGAAUUUUGGACAAUGGGCGCAAGCCUGAUCCAGCCAUGCCGCGUGAGUGAAGAAGGCCUUCGGGUUGUAAAGCUCUUUCAGCCGGGAAGAAAAGGUCGCGACUAAUAAUCGCAAUCCAUGACGGUACCGAAAGAAGAAGCACCGGCUAACUACGUGCCAGCAGCCGCGGUAAUACGUAGGGUGCGAGCGUUAAUCGGAAUUACUGGGCGUAAAGGGUGCGCAGGCGGUUUUGUAAGUCAGAUGUGAAAUCCCCGGGCUUAACCUGGGAACU